AGCCAACUGACGAGUCCCAAAUAGGACGAAAUGUGUUUUAUCCAGGAU
rnacentral:hammerhead_ribozyme from 1 species